UUAGUGGCGGACGGGUGAGUAACGCGUGGAAAACCUGCCGUAUACUGGGGGAUAACACUUAGAAAUAGGUGCUAAUACCGCAUAAGCGCACAGCUUCGCAUGAAGUGGUGUGAAAAACUCUGGUGGUAUACGAUGGUUCCGCGUCUGAUUAGCUUGUUGGUGGGGUAAUGGCUCACCAAGGCGACGAUCAGUAGGGGUUCUGAGAGGAAGGUCCCCCACAUUGGAACUGAGACACGGUCCAAACUCCUACGGAAGGCAGCAG
rnacentral:rRNA from 1 species